AGAGUCUGAUGGAGCAUGCCGCGUGAGUGAAGAAGGUUUUCGGAUCGUAAAACUCUGUUGUUGAAGAAGAACAUAUGUGAGAGUAACUGUUCACGUACUGACGGUAUUCAACCAGAAAGCCACGGCUAACUACGUGCCAGCAGCCGCGGUAAUACGUAGGUGGCAAGCGUUGUCCGGAUUUAUUGGGCGUAAAGAGAAUGUAGGCGGUUUAUUAAGUUUGAAGUGAAAGCCCUCGGCUCAACCGAGGAAGUGCUUCGAAAACUGGUAAACUUGAGUGCAGAAGAGGAAAGUGGAACUCCAUGUGUAGCGGUGGAAUGCGUAGAUAUAUGGAAGAACACCAGUGGCGAAGGCGGCUUUCUGGUCUGUAACUGACGCUGAGAUUCGAAAGCAUGGGUAGCAAACAGGAUUAGAUACCCUGGUAGUCCAUGCCGUAAACGAUGAGUGCUAAGUGUUGGAGGGUUUCCGCCCUUCAGUGCUGCAGCUAACGCAUUAAGCACUCCGCCUGGGGAGUACGAUCGCAAGAUUGAAACUCAAAGGAAUUGACGGGGGCCCGCACAAGCGGUGGAGCAUGUGGUUUAAUUCGAAGCAACGCGAAGAACCUUACCAGGUCUUGACAUACCAUGAAAAGCUUAGAGAUAAGUCUUUCCCUUCGGGGACAUGGAUACAGGUGGUGCAUGGUUGUCGUCAGCUCGUGUCGUGAGAUGUUGGGUUAAGUCCCGCAACGAGCGCAACCCUUAUUAUCAGUUGCCAGCAUUCAGUUGGGCACUCUGGUGAGACUGCCGGUGAUAAACCGGAGGAAGGUGGGGACGACGUCAAAUCAUCAUGCCCCUUAUGACCUGGGCUACACACGUGCUACAAUGGUCGGUACAACGUGCUGCGAACUCGCGAGGGUAAGCAAAUCACUUAAAACCGAUCUCAGUUCGGAUUGUAGGCUGCAACUCGCCUACAUGAAGCUGGAAUCGCUAGUAAUCGCGGAUCAGCAUGCCGCG
rnacentral:rRNA from 2 species